AUCCAUCUGACGACUCUCAAACAGGACGAAACGCGAGUCAAACUGGAU
rnacentral:hammerhead_ribozyme from 1 species